rnacentral:rRNA from 1 species
GAUGAACGCUGGCGGCGUGCCUAAUACAUGCAAGUCGAGCGAACAGAUGAGGAGCUUGCUCCUCUGACGAUAGCGGCGGACGGGUGAGUAACACGUGGAUAACCUACUUAUAUGACUGGGAUCACUUCGGGAAACCGGAGCUAAUACCGGAUAAUAUAUUGAACCGCAUGGUUCAAUAGUGAAAGACGGUUUUGCUGUCACUUAUAGAUGGAUCCGCGCCGCAUUAGCUAGUUGGUAAGGUAACGGCUUACCAAGGCAACGAUGCGUAGCCGACCUGAGAGAGUGAUCGGCCACACUGGAACUGAGACGCGGUCCAGACUCCUACGGGAGGCAGCAGUAGGGAAUCUUCCGCAGUAGGCGAAAGCCUGACGGAGCGACGCCGCGUGAGUGAUGAAGGUCUUCGGAUCGUAAAACUCUGUUAUUAGGGGAGAACAAAUGUGUAAGUAACUAUGCACGUCUUGACGGUACCUAAUCAGAAAGCCACGGCUAACUACGUG